AACGGACUCUGUUUUAAGUGUUUAAUAGGCAAACAUUUGGCUCCAGACUGCCAAGAAAAUAUUAGGUGCGAACAUUGUAAUAGUAGUAGUCUCUGCGUAAUAUUUCAUAGAGACAAAACCGAAGGUUCGAGAAACUAUGGCGGGGAACAGACUAAGCUCAAAACUAUAGACAAUACAGAACUUAAAUCGAUUAAUAGGGACAGGUCAAAGGUUAAUUUCAAGUGUACUCAAAUUUGUGGCGACUCCUUCAAAGGAAAGUAAUGUGCGAAGAUUGUGUUGUCAAAACUUUAUCACAAAACUCAACCCGAACAGGCACUUAAGGCAUAUGUCAUUUUGGAUGACCAAAGUAAUAGGUCUCUCGCCGGAACAGAAUUCUUCGAUUUCUUCGGUGAAAACUCGCUUGAGAUGGAAUAUAUUCUGUCUUCAUGCUCAGGUCAUGUGACGUCAGCAGGUAGACGUACUGAUGGUUAUAUCAUUGAGUCACUGGACGAUGAAUACAAGGCUGAAUUACCAACUCUCAUCGAGUGUAAUCAGAUACCAAAUUCUAGGCAUGAAAUACCCACACCAGAGGUUGUCAAACAGUAUAAACAUUUAGAAGAUAUAUGGUCAUUCAUUCCAGACAAUGACAUUGAGGCACCAAUCGUUUUAUUAUUAGGACGUGACGUGAUUUCCGCACAUCAUGUUUUAGAUCAGAAAAUAGGACUAGGCAAUGAGCCAUAUGCCCAGAAGUUAAGGUUAGGCUGGGUGAUCAUUGGUGAAACAUGUUUAGGUCUCGUUCAUCAACCAGAUACAGUGAAUGUGAACAAAACUUGUGUACUAGGUAACGGUAGAACUUCGGUAUUAAAACCAUGUCCAAAUAAUUUCGACUUGCAGGAUAAAUCAUGUGAAAUAGGAAUCGGACCUGAUAUAUUUCAGAAAACCAAGGACGACGACACACAAGGCUACUCACAAGAGGAUAAGGAAUUUUUAAAGAUUAUGAACACGGAAUUCAUAAAAACGCCAGAAGGUGAUUGGAGUGCCCCACUGCCAUUUAGAAAGGACCUCAAAGUCUUCCUAGUGGUUUAAAGAAAAAUCAAAGUAAAAAAAAACAUUUUUGCCAAUUUAUGAAAAAAAAUAUUUUUAAAGGGACAUGCAAUAAUAGCUGAUCCUUUAAGCACAGGAGAGGGGUGUUGGUACAUUCCAAUAUUCGGGAUUUACCAUCCUAAAAAAACAAAUAAAAUACGCGUUGUGUUUGAUUCGUCGGCAAAGUUUAAAGGACAUUCAUUAAAUGGCGCUCUUAUGACAGGACCAUUUUUAAUAAAUAGUUUGAUAGGUGUAUUGAUAAACUUUCAUAAGAAAAGGAUAGCUGUAACAGCUGUGAUACAACAAAUGUUUUUCAACUUUUAUGUUCAUGAACCACACAGAAACUUUUUACGUUUCAUCUGGUUUAAAGAUAAUGAUCCGAACAAAGAAUUAGUAGAAUACAGAAUGUGUGUGCAUGUAUUUGGCAACUCGCCAUCGCCAUCGCUUAAGGAAAUCUGUGUGUGGUCAUGAGGAAUCUGAAACUUGUGGUGACAUUUACGAUUUACGAUUUUGUAAACAACAAAUUUUACGUUGAUGACAGUUUGGUUUCAUUAGCAGAUAUAGAUUCAGCUGUUAGUUUGAUGAAAAGGACACAUGAUAGAUUAAAACAAAAUGGAAAUUUAAGACUUCAUAAAAUUUCAUCAAACAACAAAGAGGUCCUUGCUAGUUUUCCCAAGAAGAUCUAGCAAGUGAUAUGAGUGCUUUAGACUUCAAUACAGAAAGCUCCAUUAUUCAAAGAAGUUUAGGUCUGUGCUGGAAUAUUUAUUUCAGUUAUCAGGUUUCUAAGGAACAUAAACCAUAUACCAAAAGGGACUUGUUAUCAACAAUAAACAGUAUUUUCGACUCACUUGGAUUGGUGUCACCAAUUAUAUUAGGCGGAAAACUUAUUCUCAAGAAGGCUGUGGCAUUAAAUAAGUCAGAUUGGGAUGAACUAUUACCAGACAGUCUGAGAUGUGAAUGGGAGAACUGGAGAGAUUCUCUAGUUGAACUUGAAAACCUUAAGACCCCAGGGCAUACACAAAUAUAUCCUUAUUAAAUUGUGCUCGUCGUGAACUACACGUAUUCGCAGAUGCGUCCAAGGAGGCAGUAAGUUCAGUCGCUUAUAUAAAACUUUUUGAUGUAAAUGGAUUUUUGCAGUUUUUCAAAAAUUAGAUCAUUAUUUCGAGACUUCCGGUUUACUAAUCAUUGUCGGGAUAGCUUUAUCCCUCAGUUUGACCAUAUGACAUCAUGUUCCAGAAGUUUCAGAAGUAUCGAAUAGGCUGUUUAACAAAAAUAAGGGGUAAAAAAUUGGAAAAUAUUCGAAAAAAGGGCAAUAACUCUGAAUGAAAUUUAUUUUACUGGAAUCGCAUUGAACCCAGCUAUCCAGAAAUGUAGGUAGGAUUUGAAAAUUUUGAAAAAUAACAAAAAUUGCCUCGUAAACAACUUGUUAACCAUUUCGGGUCAAAAUAGACAGCGAUGUAAUUUCAAAAAUUCAACUACUAUCUUCUUAAGUGUGCCGCGAAAUUUUGAACGGCACACUAAGAGAAUUUAUCACUAAUAAAGCCAGCUAUUUGACAGAUGAAAUUCGAAAUACUACAAUAAGAACUGACAGUUACAGAUCAUCCAAUUAUUUCAUUCACCAUUACACAAUUUAAAAGUGAAAGGUUAUAUAUAUACUGAGCGCCAUGGAAAACGCAUCACUUUUUUUCCCAAAUAUUUUAUUACUAGGUGGUUUUGUAUGUAUAAUAUUAUGCAAUACUAUGAACUAUUGUUUCACACAAUACUCCCAAAGGCAAAAAAUAUCGGUCCGUGUGCACAAAAAAAAAUUGCACGAGAUGCACAUGAAAAACCCAAUAUUCACGUGCAGCAUUGUGUGUGAGCCCUUUAAAAGCAUGUUUUCAACUUAAUGUGCAGUACAUGAACUGUGAAACGUCAAUCUGUCGUAAUUUGUUGUUGGACGUGUGAAGGAAUCGAGCUAGGCAUGCCGAGACUUACUGAAAAUCAACGCAAUGAAGCCAUGGGAAUGUCCAGGGCUGGCAUGUCUACACGUGCUAUUGCCAGACACUUCGAUUGUCAUCAGUCCACUAUUGUAAGGUUGGUGGAACGUGUUCGAGUUACUGGAUCAACACGUGACCGUCAACGUCCUGGCCCACAACGCGUUACAACCCAGGCUCAAGACCGCUACAUCCGGGUCACUCACCUGCGUGUCAGAUUCCGCCCAGCGACUCGAACAGGUGCAGCAGUCGUCGGAAGACAAGGACCAGUAAGACGUCGUCUAAGAGAAGUAGGACUCCGUGCACGAUGACCUUAUGUUGGAGCUAUCCUCAGGGAUCAUCACCGUCAGCGGCGUUUGAUAUGGGCUCAAGGACACCAGACAUGGAGAAGAGUAGACUGGCAAAGUGUGCUCUUCAGUGAUGAAAGUCGCUUUCAUCUUUAUCACGUGUGUGGAGACGUCUUGUGGAACGUCUUGCAGACUUCUGCGUCUUCGAAACGAAUCGAUGGGGUGGGGGAAGUGUAAUGGUGUGGGGAGGCUUCACAUUUCAUCACCGGACCGCCCUACACAUUUGCAGGGGUCGCGUUAAUGCUGUAGCCUACCGUGAUGAUGUCUUGCAACCAAUUGUUGUUCCGAUGUUUCGAGCGCACCCACAACUUCAGCACUUCCAACAGGAUAAUGCACGUCCGCAUACCGCCCGUUUUAGUAUGGACUACGUGGCUGCUAACAACAUCAGUCUUGGACUGGCCAGCCAUGUCUCCGGACAUGGCACCGAUAGAACAUGUCUCGGAUGAGAUUGGACGCCGUCUGUAUCACAGACCACAGAUGCACACCAUUGCUGCUUUAGAAGCUGCUCUUGUCCAAGAAUGGAACAAUUUGCCCCAGGCCUUCUUUCAAACAUUGGUAAAUUCCAUGCGACGUCGCUGCACCGCGUGCGUAAGAGCCCGUGGAGGACACACGCGCUACUGACAUCCAUGUCGUACUUUUGGUUUUGACCCCUCUGACUUUAUACCGUUGAUUACAGAUUAAACAUCCAUAAGUGUACAAAUGUGUUGUUAUUGAUGUGUUCCCAUUUCAAUAUUGUUCACCAUAAGAAGCAAAAUAAAUAAGAUAUGUUUACAGGAUCAUUUUGUUAUACGAAAAACUAAGUGAUGCGUUUUCCAUGGCGCUCAGUAUAUAUUUUACCAGCAGAAAAUAUGAUGGAUAAAUUACCAACCUCAUCUACUGACACAAACAAUACUGACACAUCACCUUUUUUUUGAGGAACUGAAUCCGGCAAGAACUUUGUAUAAUUAAUGCCAAUUCUACUUUAGACUGUGAUACAGUGACAGUGAUGAUAUUUCUCAUUUUUGCAUUAUAUGGUUUUAAUUUUUAUGUUCAUAUUUUUGUGUACACUAAAUGUUUUUUGUAAAUA